rnacentral:rRNA from 1 species
GACGAACGCUGGCGGCGUGCUUAACACAUGCCGGUCGAACGGAAAGGCCCUGCUUUUGUGGGGUGCUCGAGUGGCGAACGGGUGAGUAACACGUGAGUAACCUGCCCUUGACUUUGGGAUAACUUCAGGAAACUGGGGCUAAUACCGGAUAGGAGCUCCUGCUGCAUGGUGGGGGUUGGAAAGUUUCGGCGGUUGGGGAUGGACUCGCGGCUUAUCAGCUUGUUGGUGGGGUAGUGGCUUACCAAGGCUUUGACGGGUAGCCGGCCUGGGAGGGUGACCGGCCACAUUGGGACUGAGAUACGGCCCAGACUCCUACGGGAGGCAGCAGUGGGGAAUAUUGCACAAUGGGCGGAAGCCUGAUGCAGCAACGCCGCGUGCGGGAUGACGGCCUUCGGGUUGUAAACCGCUUUCGCCUGUGACGAAGCGUGAGUGACGGUAAUGGGUAAAGAAGCACCGGCUAACUACGUG